GAGCCCAGAUCGUCGGCUAAGGUCCCCAAAUUCGAGCUAAGUGUCAAAGGAUGUGGAAGCGCAUUGACAACCAGGAGGUUGGCUUAGAAGCAGCCAUCCUUUAAAGAAAGCGUAAUAGCUCACUGGUCAAGCGAAUCUGCGCCGAAAAUAUAACGGGGCUAAGCUCGAUACCGAAGCCACGGGCUUUCGCAAGAAAGCGGUAGGGGAGUAUUCUCAAGGAGACACACGCCGGACAGUAAUGACCGGUAUCGGCCUUGAGAAGAGCUUAGGCAGGCAUGAGUAGCGAUAAACCGAGUGAGAAACUCGGUCGCCGUAAGUCCAAGGUUUCCUGGGGAAGGAUAAUCCUCCCACGGGUUAGUCGGAUCCUAAGCCGAGGCCGAGAGGCGUAGGUGAUGGAAAGCAGGUUAAUAUUCCUGCACCGCCAGGGACGGCGUUGAAGUAAGCGGGGAC
rnacentral:rRNA from 1 species